rnacentral:lncRNA from 1 species
UUUAAAUGAUAACUAAUCAUAAUUGGUCUAGUGGAGAGGGGGUAGUUUCAUGGUCUUUAGUGGGGUGGGUUCGAUACCUAUAUAUAGCAUUUUAUUUCUUUAGCAUUCAUUUUUUUUUUAUGUUUAUGUUUUAUUAUAAUUUCUCCUAUACUCGUAGUGGCAUUAUUGUUUAAUAACACAGAUUUGUUUUCUUUUAAUUUCAUCAUCCAUUCAAAC